GUACCUAUUAAGUACUAGUUGACCCAAAUCUGGAAAUGGAUGUGAGUUUCUUAGUCUUAAAAUAAUUAUACUUACUAUAUUUUAAUAUAUUCAAAGGUUCACUUAUUUAUUUUUUCUUUUAUAAGGUAAUGGUUAACCAUUUAUUGUAUACUUUGGAUAUACUUCAAUAUGUAGUGUAAUUAUUACACCAUGAACCGAAUCCUACGCAUUUCCUCAUAAACUUAAUGAGCGAAAGGUUUUUCUUCAAAACCUAACCUUCGUGUAUAUGAAUAGCCAAUAGGAAAGAACUUUUUGACGUUCGUUUUUCCCGUUCCGUAGCGAUGAUAUGUUAUUUCGGCCGAUUCAUCAUAUAAUUAUGGCGUAUAUAGGAUUUUUUAAUGAGAGGGUUAAGGUUUCGUAUACCCUAUUCUACAUAGAUACUCUAUCCUGAUGGUAUGGCCUUUUUUUAGGUCUAAAAAAUUAUAAUGCUAAGUAUUCAAAAGGAUACAUUAGUAGUAACUUUAAAAAUACACAUCUAAAACAAAUUCCUUUAUUUAGUAUCAAUUUCUACUCUAUAAUAAUUGGCAUUAUUUAUUUAUUUAUUUAUUUUUUUUGACAAUAAGAAAAUUUAAGAUUUAGUAUUUUAUCUUGUUUCAUUGAAAAUAAUUGUCAUAAUAUGAUUAUAAAUUACAAUAUGAUUAAUUAACUUUGGUAUUAUUUUCGAAUCUAUAAUAAUAAGUGCGUGUUUGAUAAAUAAAACCAUAGAUUUAAAAGAAUAUAAUCUAUAAUAGCACUAUGUACUAUAAUAUACUAUUAAACAGUGUAACAUAAUAUUUUUAACUGAUACCCGUGAUGUGUCGUACAUAAUCGUAAUUAAAUUGUGUAGUAUACCGUUACGGUUAGGAGUUCAAAUCAAUUAUCAAUUUUAUUUUUACAAUCACGUUUGGUUAUCAUUUAACAAUAUAUUUUAGGGAGUUCAUUUUACAAUUUUUUUUUCUGAUGCCUGGAACGUGCCUGAAUAUUUGGAAAAUAAUUAUCGUAUAAUAUAGUAUUUGGUUUUUACCGGUAACCAUA